rnacentral:tRNA from 1 species
GUGGUUGUAGCUCAGUUGGUUAGAGCGCCUGGUUGUGGCCCAGGAGGUCGUGGGUUCAAAUCCCCUCAUCCACCCCA